AAUGUAAUGUAAUGGCCUGGCCUGGCUCCCUGGGCCACGGGCCUUCGGGUGUAAAGACAGACCUACUGACCAAGUGCCCCCUCCCCACCCAGGGCCCCCGUUUGUAUUUGCGCGAGAAAGCACAGCGUUUUCCUUUACGGUCACUUUAAUUGAGCAUCUAGGAUGUGCGGGCGAGUCAGACCCUUUGAACAGUUACAGCGCAACGGGGAGAAGAGCUCGCGCGGAGGAAUGGAAGUAGCCACCUAGGAGGAGAGUGUGGAAAGGGAAAAGAGAGGCAGAAGAACACCCUGAAGAAGCCAACGUUUAAGAGGUAAAAACAGAAGGAGGCGUUCAUGAAGGAAACGGAGAAUGAGGAGUCAGAGGUCAAAGGAGAAACAGCCGAGGUUCUGAAGGCUGGAAGUCCAAGAGGGCAGCACAGUCAGGAUCUGGUGAAGCCCUUCUUGCUGGUUGCAGACUGCUGACUUCUUGCU